rnacentral:rRNA from 1 species
UACAGAGGGUGCGAGCGUUGUUCGGAAUUACUGGGCGUAAAGCGCGCGCAGGCGGCCCUUUAAGUCCAUCGGUCAAAUGCCGGAGCUCAACUCCGUGCGUGCCGAGGAUACUGGAGGGCUGGAGACACGUAGAGGCAAGCGGAAUUCCUGGUGUAGCGGUGGAAUGCGCAGAUAUCAGGAGGAACACCCAUAGCGAAGGCAGCUUGCUGGGACGUUACUGACGCUAAGGCGCGAAAGCGUGGGGAGCGAACAGG